UACGUAGGGCGCAAGCGUUGUCCGGAAUUAUUGGGCGUAAAGCGUGCGUAGGCGGCUGUUUAAGUCUGGUGUUAAAGCUAGGGGCUCAACCCCUGUGGUGCACUGGAAACUGGGCAGCUUGAGUGCGGUAGGGGAAGGUGGAAUUCCGAGUGUAGCGGUGAAAUGCGUAGAUAUUCGGAAGAACACCGGUGGCGAAGGCGACCUUCUGGGCCGCAACUGACGCUGAGGCACGAAAGCCUGGGGAGCGAACGGG
rnacentral:rRNA from 1 species